UUAACUCAAAUUUGUAUGGAGUUGGAACGUUUGCUUACGUUUGCCGCUAGAGGCGCUGUUCCAGUUGCAUAGAAAUUUGAGUUA
rnacentral:pre_miRNA from 1 species